AAAUAUCAGCUAUAUUUUGGAGUUUGCACAUUCUCCUGAAAAAAAAUCAAAGCCUCCCCCCUGCCCCUCUCCUUCUCCUUCUCCUUCUCCUUCUCCCUCUCGUGCAAAAGAAAGAGGAAAAUGGCAAAGGUGAACGCAGGACAGAGCCUCCCGCCCGAUAUUGUGCAACUAAUUGAAAAAUUGGAUCGCCAUUGCGUCGCCCCAAACGGUUCUCUCGUCUCCAGAUCCGCCUAAUACGACCUACAAUUGGCCAGAGAGGAGAUGUCAAGGGAGAGAUUGCGGUACUUGGAAGCCAUGGCGGUCUACUGCGAGGCAAUUGCCAUGGUGUACGAAUAUCAGCAGGCAGUGGCUGUUGCUAGUCUCGGGGGGAUUAGAGACGUCCAGGGUCUCUACUUUCAGCUGGGGUUGAAGGCCUCCCCUCAGGUUUCGUCAAUUUUUAACCAUCAAGAAACUAGAAAGUUUAUCAUGGGCACUAUCACACGAUUAUUGUAACACUAAAUGUUGGCAUUGAUCACAACCACAACUAUGAUAAGCACGUAAACAUUACUGAGCCUUCAAUGGGAUUGUAUGAUGGUGUACUUAAUUCAGCUAUCAUGUUUGCUACCAUGAAGAAAUUGUUAGUGAUCA